GUGCUCGUUUCGGCAGCACAUCUACUAAAGUGGGAACGACACAGGGGAGAUUAGCAUGGCCCCGCGCAAGGAUGACAUGCAAAUAUGCGAAGUGUUCCAUAUUUUU
ensembl:snRNA U6 U6 spliceosomal RNA